UACAGAGGGUGCAAGCGUUAAUCGGAGUUACUGGGCGUAAAGGGUGCGUAGGUGGUUGUUUAAGUUAGAUGUGAAAUCCCUGGGCUUAACCUAGGAACUGCAUCUAAUACUGGAUGACUAGAGUAUUGUAGAGGGUAGUGGAAUUUCCGGUGUAGCGGUGAAAUGCGUAGAGAUCGGAAGGAACACCAGUGGCGAAGGCGGCUACCUGGACAAAUACUGACACUGAGGCACGAGAGCGUGGGGAGCAAACAGG
rnacentral:rRNA from 1 species